ensembl:lncRNA
UAAUUUUUACCUCACACUUCUAUUUUAUUUUUAAAAUAAACACACAGUACCAUGCUGUAUUUGAUUGAGUCUAUGUUUCUGUGUUCUAGUGCUUAGCACAGAACCUGGCCCACAGAGAGGAUCAGUAAAUAUUUGUUGAAAAAUAAAAGCAUAAAGGUUAACAAUAUUUAUCCAUUCUAGGCAAUUGAAGUUCCUGGGGUCAUAAAUGUUUAAUAAAUAACUAUUAUUAUAAUAAAUAACUAAUAAACUUUUAUAAUAAAAUAGUUUUAAAUUAACAAAUUAAUAGCUUGUUCUUUGAAAUCUUUUGAAUAAUUCCUCUGCACCUUCUCUUUUUGAGUUAUCUAUAAUAAAAUUUUGCUGAGCAGAAUAAACUUUAGCUUAGUCCAAAUGGGAUAAUUAGAAAUUUGGAACAAGUGGCCUGCCUUAAUGAGUUUUUACUGUGCUCAGUGUAAUUCUAGAAUUUUAGUACCAGAGAGAUCUUAAUUUACACGUGUUAAUUGGGCUCUUCCAGGUUAGCUAAGGAGACAGGAAGGGAAAGAAUGGAAACAGCCUCACCAGGCUGUGUGGGGCCUGAAGGGAGGGGCAUUUGUGGUCAGCCCUGGGUCCCGUGUUGGACGGCAGCUCUGUGAGUCAAUAACCGGCUGUCUCCUCGAGAUCGGGCAUUUGCUCCUCCAGGAGCUGGGGCUGCAGUUUGGAGACUGGGCUGCUCCAGCCUCUGCUUGGUCAUGGUUUGUCCUGACUCAUCACUUCUACCCUCUGCUCUCUGCCUACCUGUGCUUCUGCCCAGAAAAGCAAGUGCUGAUGGUCUCUACAGGUCUCGAAUUCAAAUCCCCACAAAGAAAGUAUCCAAUUGCUUCAGAUAGUUGCUGUCCUCCCUGCUGGGCAGAGAGCUCUCACCAGACCACCUCCUAAAAUGGGGGUCACCCUGUAAAUGAGCUGCCCUUGGGGCCAGCACCUACUCCUUGAGCCGGGAGGGCGAGAAGAACUGCUCUCUCAGAGGGCCUGAGGGCAUGAGAUGGGCCAGUCACGCCACUGCGGAGCUCCUCUCUGAGUCACAGAGGCAGAAGCUGAAGUCUGGAAAGCCAGGUGGAUCAUUCCAAGGAGGGUCCUUUCAAAGUCUUCUAUGAUCUAGGUUUCCGAAGCACAGCGUCUCCCUGAUUUUGAGAAGAGCUGCCUAUUUGGCUUGUUCCUUUUGACCUGCUCUAAAUGUCUGGGUUAAGCCUGCAAGGAUUAACAGACACAUCUCAUUGAUGGAAUGUCUAAACAUAUUGCCAGUGGAUCUUUUAUCAGAAUUACUUAUGAUACUUCGAAAUUACUAUGAUACUUUGAAAAUUAAGGAUGUCUGAUAUCACUGGGACACUGAAUAAGUGGGCCCACAAAAUAUUGCUUAUUUUCAUGUGUUUUUCUUAAUCGAAAUAAAUAAGUUGCCGCUUUAAAAAUAAGUAUGUAACACUGCAAGAAAAACUGGUAUAAAGCUUACCAGAAGUGGCUGUCACUUAGAAGCUAUUAGUAUUGUUUUGUUUUAGAAGCUGAAGCAAAGCCCUAUGGAAAGUAAUAUUUAUUCAGUUGAUGUUUGUUGAGAACCAGCUAUGCACCGACACUGUGCUGAGCCCUGGGGCACAGCAGUGAGCAUGACAGACACUCCCUGCUCUCAUGGAACUUAGUACAUGUUCCAUCAACCUGGUUUCCUAUUUUCUUGGAACAAUGACAAGUAGGCACGGGGUGGAGUGAGGGGCGAUAGUAAGUCCUACAGUCCUGAACUGAAGUUUUCUAAUUAAAAUACAAAAGAAAGAACUUAAGCAACCAAAUUAGCAAUUUGGGCAUUGAAAAUGGCACUUUAACUGCAACUUUAGGCAAGCUGUGAGUCCGAAUAAUGCCAUGAUGCUAUUUGUAACAGUUAACGGUCUCGUUAUCCGUUAAGCUUUCUUUCUUUUCCCUCUCCUCCACUCUCGUUUCUCCUAAAAGGAAAAAGAAACCCUCAACAAACAAUGGACAUCGUAAUUAUUGGGUUGAUUUUAGACUCUCGUGAACCCAGUGAUGUAUGAUGAGACCUCAGCCAGCGUCCAUCCGAGUUACCCCGCCCCACGCCAGUGUUAGAGACUGUCUACCUCCAGCUCUGAUGUGCUUUUUCUGCAGCCAAGUCAUCGCAGCUCACAAAGCAGUUCCUUUAAAGCAGUUCCAUUAAAACCCCGGAAGCACAGGCCCAGGAACGGGGGACUCUUUCCUGUUGUCACUCUCAGCACCAGGGAGGGCAAGCUGCCAGCAGGGGGGUCUCAGCAGCAGAUUUCUGGAAAGCACGUCAAAUGUAGCUUGACAUUUACCACUCAUCCUCUAGAACUGGGAAAGGCCUGGAUUCCUGGGAG